AAAUUGAAGAGUUUGAUCAUGGCUCAGAUUGAACGCUGGCGGCAGGCCUAACACAUGCAAGUCGAACGGUAACAGGAAACAGCUUGCUGUUUCGCUGACGAGUGGCGGACGGGUGAGUAAUGUCUGGGAAACUGCCUGAUGGAGGGGGAUAACUACUGGAAACGGUAGCUAAUACCGCAUAAUGUCGCAAGACUAAAGAGGGGGACCUUCGGGCCUCUUGCCAUCGGAUGUGCCCAGAUGGGAUUAGCUAGUAGGUGGGGUAACGGCUCACCUAGGCGACG
rnacentral:rRNA from 1 species